rnacentral:rRNA from 1 species
GAUGAACGCUGGCGGCGUGCUUAACACAUGCAAGUCGAACGGAGUGGCGAACGGGUGAGUAACACGCGGGUGAUCUGCCCCGUACUUCGGGCUAAGCUUGGGAAACUGGGUCUAAUACCGGUUAUUCUGGGAUGAGUGCGCGGCCUAUAAGCUUGUUGGUGGGGUAAUGGCCUACCAAGGCGUCGACGGGUAGCCGGCCUGAGAGGGGGUACGGCCACAUUGGGACUGAGAUACGGCCCAGACUCCUACGGGGGGCAGCAGUGGGGAAUAUUGCACAAUGGGGGCAAGCCUGAUGCAGCGACGCCGCGUGGGGGAUGAAGGCCUUCGGGUUGGAAACUCCUUUCGCUAAUGACGCGGUACCUGGAGAAGAAGCACCGGCUAACUUCGUGCCAGCAGCCGCGGUAAUAC